rnacentral:lncRNA from 10 species
CUCCUGCCUGAUGCCUUUGCACUGGGACAUCAGCUCUUCUGGGUUCUACAGCAGCUUCCAGCUUUCAGACUCAAACCAGGACAUCUACUCAGCAGAUUUUGGAGUUGCCAGCCUCUGUAAUCAUGUGAGCCAGUUUCUUAUAAUAAACCUCUUCAUAUACUAGUUCUUGUCUUUGGAGAACUCAGAACUCUGAACUCUUGUCUUUAGAGAACUAACACACUGCCUGACUGCGUGAUUUUAUCAUUUAUUGCCCUCAACCUCAGAAAGAAUUUGAAAUAGCUGCUUAGCUACAUAAAGUUUCAGGCCAGUGGGCUUUCUUUUAAACUACAAUCUUUGCAGGAAAAAAUGGCAGGUUCAUUGGAAAGGAGUCCUGAAAUGAAGCAAGGAAAAGGCAAGAAAGAAUAGAAACAGAAGAAUUCCCAAGGUUGAAGAGGAAACAAAAUGUUAAAAGAAAGAUUUUGACCAACCAAAAUUAAGAAGCAAAGAACAGGGGGGAAACUAGGCAACAAAAAAGACAAAAGAAAAAUAAGUAAAUAAAAUAAAAAAUCAAUGGAUAAACAAUGGCAGCCCGGGCAACAUAGUCUCUACAAAAAUUUUUUAAAAUAUCUGAGUGUGCCUGUGGUCCCACCUACUCAGGAGGCUGAGGCAGGAGGACCACUUGGGCCUGGGAGGUUGAGGCUGUAGUGAGCCCUGAUGGUACCACUGCACUAUAGCCUGGGCAACAGAGCGAGAUCCGCUCUCAGAGAAAAAAAAAAAAAAUGAGGCACCUAAUAAAUGUUACUAUCUCCUUGCAGCUCUAAUGUGGGAUUUAAUGAGUGUUCAAGGGCUGCUGAGCAGGGACAACAUUGUGUACCACCAUGUAGCUGAAGAGUUAACUUUCCUAGUUAGGAGGAAAUGAAGCUGUGUGCCUGGUUGUAAAGAUAAGAGCCAUCCAAAACAUUUAUUUUAGAAAAGAAAGUGACACGAGGGCAAGCAGCCAAUUAAAAUCUGGAAAGCUGCGACUAUGGAAAAUUCUACAUUUCCUUUCAACGUAAGCACCUAAUGACACAGGACUUCAUUCCAGAACUAACACUAACACUUCUCAAGCAAUCAAUUCAUAUAUUCCCAUGUUCACGUCUCUCCAAAGUUGCUGUAUUUCCCCUGGAAAAACGGAAGAAAUCCAAUAUAGCUACCCAAACAAAUACCGUAAAUGACUUAAGAGGCAGGGACAGAGAGAAGUUAGAGCGGCAAUAAUUUAUAUGAUAGACUUAAACCCUUCUUCUACUGAGUGGG